AAGGAGAAGCAAAUGAUACAAAAAUACCGAUAGGCGAUUUUUAAUGGAAUAGUUCGAGUGCCAAGUAAUUGAUAUUUAGAAGAAAAAUCUUAGAAGCUGCGUUUUAGUUGCGUUAAAAAAAUGCGGUCGCAAGUAAAUGUCAGAUAACGAAUCCACUGAGUAUAAAUAUUGGAAAAACUUAUUUCUAGUCCCGCAUGUUCAUUCUUGCAACGAUUAUACAUCAAAGUCUGUACUUAUCACGCGAAAAAAACCAAAAUGAAGAGAAUUCUUCUACUGUUAUCAAUUUUAUUGAUAAUCAGCCUGCAUGCCAAUACAGUCGAAGGAUGCCAAGGCGAUCCGUGUAAUCCUUUGGAGGGUACACAAUGUUGUGAAAAUUUUGUGUGUACUCAUUGGAGAUCACCAGGUACAUGUGUUGAAAUGGCUAAAGAUGUCUGGAUUGAGGAAAGAAAAUAAGUUUUCAGAAAAAAAUUAUUUUGGUAAAUUGUUAUACCGUAAUGCCGAGUCAUCGAUUUUGUAAUAUUAGUCAAUAAAUAUAUGAUAAUAUAUAUGCUAA